rnacentral:lncRNA from 1 species
GGUGACUGGAGGUGUUCGCUGAUGUGGCCCCAACCCUACCUCCCUCCCGACCCCAUGAUGCCAGAAGAAACUCGAUGGAACAAAUUGGCAGCAGUCAAGAAAAAGCUAAAAGAAUAUCAGCAAAGGAAGAGCCCUGGUGUUCCAGCAGGAGCAAAGACAAAAAAGAAAAAAACUGGCAGUAGCCCUGAGACAACCACUUCUGGUGGUUGCCACUCACCUGGGGAUAGCCAGUACCAAGAACUAGCAGUAGCCCUGGAGUCAAGCUCCGUGACAAUCAAUCAACUCAAUGAAAACAUAGAAUCAUUGAAACAGCAGAAGAAACAAGUGGAACAUCAGCUGGAAGAAAUAACGCAAAGAAAGCAAACAAUGAAAUACACAAAGCACAAACAGAGCAGUUAGAGACAAUCAACAUCCUCACAUUGGAAAAGGCAGACUUGAAGACCACCCUUUACCAUACUAAACGUGCUGCCCGACACUUCGAAGAAGAGUCCAAGGAUCUGGCUGGCCGCCUGCAAUACGCCUUGCAGCGUAUUCAAGAAUUGGAGCGGGCUCUCUGUGCUGUGUCUACACAGCAGCAGGAAGAGGACAGGUCCUCGAGCUGCAGAGAAGCGGUCCUCCAGUGGCGGUUACAGCAGACCAUAAAGGAGCAGGCACUGCUGAACGCACACGUGACACAGGUGACAGAGUCACUAAAACAAGUCCAGCUAGAGCAGGACGAAUAUGCUAAACACAUAAAAGGAGAGAGGGCCCGGUGGCAGGAGAGGAUGUGGAAAAUGUCGGUGGAGGCUCGAACAUUAAAGGAAGAGAAGAAGCGUGACAUACAUCGGAUACAGGAGCUGAAGAGGAGCUUGUCCGAACUCAAAAACCAGAUGGCUGAGCCCCUAUCCCUGGCGCCCCCAGCAGUGACCUCUGUGGUGGAACAGCUACAAGAUGAGGCCAAACACCUGAGGCAGGAGGUGGAAGGUCUGGAGGGAAAGCUCCAAUCCCAGGUGGAAAACAAUCAGGCCUUGAGUGUCCUGAGCAAGGAACAAAAGCAGAGACUCCAGGAGCAGGAGGAGAGACUCCAGGAGCAGGAGGAGAUGAUCCGAGAGCAGGAGGAGAUGCUCCGAGAGCAGGAGGCGCAGAGGGUGCGGGAGCUGGAGAGACUGUGUGAACAAAACGAGAGGCUUCGGGAGCAGCAGAAGAUGCUACAGGAGCAGGGUGAGAGGCUGCAAAAGCAGGAGCAGAGGCUACGCAAGCAGGAGGAGAGGCUGCAAAAGGAGGAGGAGAGGCUGCAAAAGCAGGAAAAGAGGCUGUGGGACCAGGAGGAGAGGCUGUGGAAGAAGGAGGACAGGCUACAAAAGCAGGAGGAGAGGCUCGUGCUCUUCCAGAACCACAAGCUCGACAAGCAGCUGGCCGAGCCACAGUGCAGCUUCGAGGAUCUGAACAAUGAGAAAAAGAGCGCACUGCAGUUGGAGCAGCAAGUAAAGGAGCUGCAGGAGAAGCUAGACGAG